AGAGUUUGAUCCUGGCUCAGGAUAAACGCUGGCGGCGUGCCUAACGCAUGCAAGUCGAACGGAGCCUUCGGGCUGAGUGGCGGACGGGUGAGUAACACGUAGGAACCUGCCUGGGAGUGGGGGACAACUCCGCGAAAGCGGGGCUAAUACCGCAUACGGUCUACGGACCAAAGCCUUCGGGCGCUCCUAGAGGGGCCUGCGGCGGAUUAGCUAGUUGGUGGGGUAACGGCCUACCAAGGCGACGAUCCGUAGCUGGUCUGAGAGGAUGGCCAGCCACACUGGGACUGAGACACGGCCCAGACUCCUACGGGAGGCAGCAGCGAGGAAUUUUCCGCAAUGGGCGAAAGCCUGACGGAGCAACGCCGCGUGGGGGAAGAAGGCCUUCGGGUUGUAAACCCCUGUUGCGAGGGAAGAAGAUCUGACGGUACCUCGCGAGAAAGCCACGGCUAACUACGUGCCAGCAGCCGCGGUAAUACGUAGGUGGCAAGCGUUGUCCGGAUUUACUGGGCGUAAAGCGCGCGCAGGCGGACUGGUCAGUCCGGGGUGAAAUCUCACGGCUCAACCGUGAGGGGUCCCUGGAUACUGCCAGUCUUGAGGGGCUCAGAGGAGUGUGGAAUUCCGGGUGUAGUGGUGGAAUGCGUAGAUAUCCGGAGGAACACCAGUGGCGAAAGCGGCACUCUGGGGGCAACCUGACGCUGAGGCGCGAAAGCGUGGGGAGCGAACCGGAUUAGAUACCCGGGUAGUCCACGCCGUAAACGAUGAGUACUAGUUGUCGGGGGUAUCGACCCCCUCGGUAACGA
rnacentral:rRNA from 1 species